CGUGAGCGCACAAAACACAUAAACCGUGAGUAUUUCUAGUCGAAACUUGAAAAAAAAAUACAAAACUUUCAACAACGGAUCUCUUGGUUCUCGCAUCGAUGAAGAGCGCAGCGAAAUGCGAUACCUAGUGUGAAUUGCAGCCAUCGUGAAUCAUCGAGUUCUUGAACGCACAUUGCGCCCGUCGGUAUUCCGGCGGGCAUGCCUGUCUGAGCGUCGUUUCCUUCUUGGAACUUUUGUUAAAGAAAGAUCCAGAGCUGGCCGUGCCACUGGCCCGGCCGAAAAGAAACGUUGCGGACGAAGCGAACUACAUCGGGACGCUUUGGCCGCCGAGCGAAAAUAUAUCAUUGAGCUCGACCUCAGAUCAGGUAGGAGUACCCGCUGAACUUAAGCAUAUCAAA
rnacentral:rRNA from 1 species